UACGAAGGGGGCUAGCGUUGUUCGGAUUUACUGGGCGUAAAGCGCACGUAGGCGGAUCUUUAAGUCAGAGGUGAAAUCCCAAGGCUCAACCUUGGAACUGCCUUUGAUACUGGGGAUCUUGAGUCCGGGAGAGGUGAGUGGAACUGCGAGUGUAGAGGUGAAAUUCGUAGAUAUUCGCAAGAACACCAGUGGCGAAGGCGGCUCACUGGCCCGGUACUGACGCUGAGGUGCGAAAGCGGAGGGAGCAAACAGGGAU
rnacentral:rRNA from 1 species